rnacentral:rRNA from 1 species
UUCGGAACUGAAGAUUUGGUGAUUGAGUGGCGGACGGGUGAGUAACGCGUGGGUAACCUACCCUGUACAGGGGGAUAACAGUCAGAAAUGACUGCUAAUACCGCAUAAGACCACAGCACCGCAUGGUGCAGGGGUAAAAACUCCGGUGGUACAGGAUGGACCCGCGUCUGAUUAGCUGGUUGGUGAGGUAACGGCUCACCAAGGCGACGAUCAGUAGCCGGCUUGAGAGAGUGAACGGCCACAUUGGGACUGAGACACGGCCCAAACUCCUACGGGAGGCAGCAGUGGGGAAUAUUGCACAAUGGGGGGAACCCUGAUGCAGCGACGCCGCGUGAGUGAAGAAGUAUCUCGGUAUGUAAAGCUCUAUCAGCAGGGAAGAAAAUGACGGUACCUGACUAAGAAGCCCCGGCUAACUACGUGCCAGCAGCCGCGGUAAUACGUAGGGGGCAAGCGUUAUCCGGAAUUACUGGGUGUAAAGGGUGCGUAGGUGGUAUGGCAAGUCAGAAGUGAAAACCCAGGGCUUAACUCUGGGACUGCUUUUGAAACUGUCAGACUGGAGUGCAGGAGAGGUAAGCGGAAUUCCUAGUGUAGCGGUGAAAUGCGUAGAUAUUAG